UCCUUGAUAGCUUAAAAGGUCAAAGCGAAUGGCUGUUAACCAUUCGAUUGUAAGUUCAAAUCUUACUCAAGGAG
rnacentral:tRNA from 1 species